rnacentral:lncRNA from 1 species
GCAGGGAGACAGCACCCCAGGCCGAGCGAAGGGGAGGACCGCACAGGCAAACGCUGGCCUGGUGAGGCACCAGAGGCUGUAGAGGAAAGCGCCUCCCACCUGUGAGAUGCCAACAAGAUACCCGGGGUCUGAAGAGUCUUAAAAGAAAAGCAAGGAGCGGGGGUAUGAUAUCCGACCGAAGAGCAAAUGCCCAAGCCACUUGGCACUGCACUCUAACUGGGAGGCUGAGCAC